GAGUUUGAUCGUGGCUCAGGAUGAACGCUAGCUACAGGCUUAACACAUGCAAGUCGAGGGGCAUCAGUUUGGUUUGCUUGCAAACCAAAGCUGGCGACCGGCGCACGGGUGAGUAACACGUAUCCAACCUGCCCUUUACUCGGGGAUAGCCUUUCGAAAGAAAGAUUAAUACCCGAUGGCAUAAUGAUUCCGCAUGGUUUCAUUAUUAAAGGAUUCCGGUAAAGGAUGGGGAUGCGUUCCAUUAGGUUGUUGGUGAGGUAACGGCCCACCAAGCCUUCGAUGGAUAGGGGGUUCUGAGAGGAAGGUCCCCCCAAUUGGAACUGAGACACGGUCCAAACUCCUACGGGAGCAGCAGUGAGGAAUAUUGGUCAAUGGGC
rnacentral:rRNA from 1 species